CCUACGGGUGGCUGCAGUGGGGAAUAUUGGUCAAUGCGCGUAAGACUGAACCAGCCAAGUCGCGUGAGGGAUGAAGGUUCUAUGGAUCGUCAACCUCUUUUAUAAGGGAAUAAAGUCUGGGACGUGUCCUAUUUUGCAUGUACUUUAUGAAUAAGGAUCGGCUCACUCCGUUCCAGCAGCCGCGGUAAUACGGAGGAUCCGAGCGUUAUCCGGAUUUAUUGGGUUUAAAGGGAGCGUAGAUGGGUUGUUAAGUCAGUUGUGAAAGUGUGCGGCUCAACCGUAAAAUUGCAAUUGAUACAGUCAGUCUUGAGUACAGGUGAGGUAUGCGGAAUUCGUGGUGUAGCGGUGAAAUGCGUAGAUAUCACGAAGAACCCCGAUAGCGAAGGCAGCUAACUAAACUGUGACUGACAUUGAUGCGCGAAAGUGUGGGUAGCAAACAGGAUUAGAUACCCGGGUAGUC
rnacentral:rRNA from 1 species